AAGUCGUAACAAGGUUUCCGUAGGUGAACCUGCGGAAGGAUCAUUACUGAGAACAUGCCCUUUACGGGGUAUAUCUCCCACCCUUUGUUUACAAUACCUUUGUUGCUUUGGCAGGCCCAUCUCAUGACCACCGGCUUUGGCUGGUCCUGUGCCUGCCAGAGGACCCCAAAACUCUUUUAUUAUGUCGUCUGAGUACUAUGUAAUAGUUAAAACUUUCAACAACGGAUCUCUUGGUUCUG
rnacentral:misc_RNA from 1 species